AAAUACCCAAACUUAACCUAAACCCUUUAUCUCUACUGAGUGAUUCUAUAUUUGUAUAGAAACCCCAAUGCUAAAACUAGUAACAAGAAAACGACUUUCUCCAUAAUAUACCUAUAAGUCAAAAUGGACAAACCACUGACAAUCAACGCCAUGAGCCCAAUAUAAUAACCCUCCAAGAAAAUCUUAUAUAUUUAGGCGUUAACCUUACACAAGAGUAUUUCCGGAAAGAUUAAAAGAAAGGGAAGGAACUCGGCAAAUCUUAACCCCGCCUGUUUACCAAAAACAUCGCCUCUUGAUAACCCAUAAGAAGGUCCAGCCUGCCCAGUGAUAUAAUUCAACGGCCGCGGUACCCUGACCGUGCGAAGGUAGCAUAAUCACUUGUUCUCUAAAUAAGGACUAGUAUCAAUGGCACCACGAGGGAUAUACUGUCUCCCCUUUUUAAUCAGUGAAACUGAUCUCCCCGUGAAGAAGCGGGGAUGAACCUACGACGAGAAGACCCCAUGGAGCUUUAAACCCAAUAACACCAACACUUAAGUAUACCCAUAAAAUAAACAGAGCUGUUUAUUGGUUUUAGGUUGGGGUGACCACGGAGUAAAACUAAGCCUCCACGACGAAUACACCUAUCUCAGAGCUACCCCUCUAAGAAUCAAAACUUUGACGUAACCUGAUCCGACUUUCGAUCAACGAACCAAGUUACCCUGGGGAUAACAGCGCAAUCCAUUUCAAGAGCCCCUAUCGACAAAUGGGUUUACGACCUCGAUGUUGGA
rnacentral:rRNA from 1 species